UGACCAUCAGGAAAGGGGUGAGGAACGGUUUUUUCACAUAAACUUUUCAAGUUUACUCUUACCUGUGGGUUGAUUAGUCAGUACUAUCCAACGAGUAAAAUAUAUGUAUAUACCACCAUCAGAGUUGUCUGUAAAAGCAGUGAGAACUGCUCUUUCCCUCGGAGCGGGCGGCGGCGGCGGCGUCGGCGGCCUGUGCAGCAAUGGCCAAGAUAAAGGCUCGAGAUCUUCGCGGGAAGAAGAAGGAGCUGCUGAAACAGCUGGACGACCUGAAGGUGGAGCUGUCCCAGCUGCGUGUCGCCAAAGUGACAGGCGGUGCGGCCUUCAAGCUUUCUAAGAUCCGAGUCGUCCGGAAAUCCAUUGCCCGUGUUCUCACAGUUAUUAACCAGACGCAGAAAGAAAACCUCAGGAAAUCCUACAAGGGCAAAUAGUACAAGCCCCUGGACCUGCGGCCUAAGAAGACACGCGCCAUGCGCCGCCGGCUCAACAAGCGUGAGGAAAACCUGAAGACCAGGAAGCAGCAGCGGAAGGAGCGGCUGUACCCGCUGCGGAAGUACGCGGUCAAGACCUGAGGGGCGCAUUGUCAAUAAAGCACAGCUGGCUGAG